UUAGUCACUUCAUAUGUCAUUCUAUAAUAAUUAUUGCCUCAUUUCAACUUAAUGGCACUCACUCAUCUGUCCAAUUCUUUUUGCUUUUGCAUAAAUUGAACAUAACACAAUGUAAUUGUUUGCAUGUUUUAUUAAUUUUGAUGGUAUGUUAUCCAUAUCAGAUGAUACCAGUUCUUUUUAGCUGCCCUUUUGUAUAAUUCUUUAUGUAUUACUGAAUUGAACAAAUUAAAAU